AACGAACGUUAGCGGCGCGCUUAACACAUGCAAGUCGAGCGAGAAAGGGCUUCGGCCCCGGUAAAGCGGCGCACGGGUGAGUAACACGUAGGUAAUCUGCCCCCAGGUGGUGGAUAACGUUCCGAAAGGAGCGCUAAUACAGCAUGAGACCACGCCUUCGAAAGGAGGUGAGGUCAAAGCCGGCCUCUUCAAGAAAGCUGGCGCCAGGGGAUGAGCCUGCGGCCCAUCAGCUAGUUGGUAGGGUAAUGGCCUACCAAGGCGAAGACGGGUAGCUGGUCUGAGAGGAUGAUCAGCCACACUGGAACUGAGACACGGUCCAGACUCCUACGGGAGGCAGCAGUGGGGAAUCUUGCGCAAUGGGCGAAAGCCUGACGCAGCGACGCCGCGUGAGUGAUGAAGGCCUUCGGGUUGUAAAGCUCUGUGGAGGGGGACGAAUAAGGGUUGGCUAACAUCCAGCUCGAUGACGGUACCCCUUUAGCAAGCACCGGCUAACUCUGUGC
rnacentral:rRNA from 1 species